AACCGCCCGCCUCCCCCCUCACGACUUGUACAAUCCUCUCUCUUCUUCACGUUUUUCCUUCUCCUCCUGCCUCAUUCUUCUCCCUUAUUCGUUCUUCCUUGCUUUCUUCUUCUCCUCCUCCGGUGCUUCCGCUCCCCACGGUGAGAUCUUCUUUCAAUAUUUGUUCUGUUUUCUUCGGAGGGCUUCCCCCGCGUUCGCAGUCAUGGGCGAAAGAAAGUGUAGCCGUCGCCUUCGUUUUUUGUCUACGACUUCGGGUACCGUCGCCGUCGCAGCCUCCUCCACGGAUCCACUUCGUCGCCUUCGUCUGCCUCUGUCCGGCCGCCAUGUUUGUUGCAGUUGAAAAAAAAACCGGCGAUACUGACAUGAAAGUACAGGAACUGGCACGGGGUAGGUUUUACUGGUUUUCUUCAGAGAUGAAAGCUUUAAGUUAUGAUUGUGAUCGUUCACGGCUUUUCUUUGUGGAAAUGUUCAUAAGAGCGAAAAGUUACCACACAUCACAAAGGCUGCUCGCUGAUGAUCUGGCUUUCUCCAAACUCCAAAAAACUACAGAAAAAAUCCAGUAGCUGCACAUUCCUACUAUCAAACUAACCCAGAUUUGUGCGCUUUGGUGAUGUUGUCUUUCUGUGGCCAUUGCUGGGGGAAUAUUCUUCUAUGUCCUGCUACCAUAUGAGGCUGCAUUGUGAUGGGUUCCAGUUUCCUCAAUUUCCAUGUUUGGUGUUAGAAUUUGAGGUGUGUCAUCAACUGCACAGCUUGCUAAAACCUUGCAGUAAGAAAGUGCUCCACAAGGUGGAGGAUUGAAUUGAUAGUGCUAUCAGGUGUUGCAAAUUGAUUGUGAGAAAAGCUUGUUAAUGGUCAUUUGCCCACGAAUGUUCUAUGUCGUAGUUUAUUGUCUGUUUUUGUUGUUUCUUCAAAUUCUGUAUUGUAGAUAUUGCAACUGGUUUUGUUGCCUGCCAGGUGUAUUUCUAAUUAUAUUUGUAUCUUCACUUUAUUCA